rnacentral:lncRNA from 1 species
GCUGUGUUUGUUUGUCUCUUAGGAAAUUAGAACUAUGGAAUUUUUGGCAGCCUGGCCAUUUCAUUCAUUAAAAUGACAGCUCAAAUUCUAAUACUGAACAUGUUGCUACCAUCAAAUUUUGAUGUGAUUUUUCCUCAGAAGUCAUCAAAGACAUACAGAAGCAUGUGUAUAGCUGCAGAUGCACAUGACUAUUAUCUAUCAGUGGGAGUUGCUACAGUGUUUUCCCUGAACUUCAAGACUACUCAAAAAUACUGUUGAUUAGAAGAGCUUUAACAGAGGAGGCUGGAAGUCUUGGCCUGAGUGACUACUGAAAAGAUACCUGAAAGUCCCAGAGGUCAUCUAUUCUUCAUGUACCAAGCCUCCUCUGCAUUUAUGGUGGCUCCUUACCUGGUGUCAGACUUUUUCUGCCAACAUCACAUAAAUAAUACUGUACUUAAACAGUCCUUAAGGAACUGCUUUAGGAACCUGCCUUGUAGAGAAGCUCAAGUCUUUGAAAGGAGAAACUGGGUCACUAGAUAUCUUUCUAUGAAGAUCACUCAGUUUACAAAGAACCCAAUGCAACACUACUUCCCAUCUAAACUCCAGGUCUGCCUUCGAGUAGUACUGUGAUGGUGAUAAGGAAGAUUCAUUUGUCAGGCAACAACUUGGACUUCGAAAAUCCUAACAUCAGCACUCCAUAACCAUCCCCCAGUGAUAACAGGCAAUGCUUAUCUCAGAUCCUCAAAUAUAUUUACAUGUCACUGACUUUUUGGAUCUACAUAGGUUUUCAACUCUGAGCCUAAUGCCUCUGUGCCUGUUGGCAACUCUGUUGAAUGGGUUAUUAGUAAAAUCCUAUGUUAUAAGAUUGGGGUUAAUGAGAUCCUGUGCUAAAGGAGGACACUAUGAAUAGCUAAAAUGGGUAACAAACAUUAUUAUUGAACCAAGGACUGUUUAAAGGGAAAGCUUCUUUGUCAUUUAGAGACUCACAAAGUGAAUCCAAUUGGAAAGUGCAAAUCUGAAAUACUCCAAUUUUUCCUCCUUACUAUCUUUCAUGGUUCAAGGACUUGUGUUGUUUGAACUGUACCUCAGUCUUCAAUAAAGUGGUUUCUGAGAUCCCGCUUUUCA